rnacentral:rRNA from 1 species
GACGAACGCUGGCGGCGUGCUUAACACAUGCAAGUCGAACGGAAAGGCCCUGCUUUUGUGGGGUGCUCGAGUGGCGAACGGGUGAGUAACACGUGAGUAACCUGCCCUUGACUUUGGGAUAACUUCAGGAAACUGGGGCUAAUACCGGAUAGGAGCUCCUGCUGCAUGGUGGGGGUUGGAAAGUUUCGGCGGUUGGGGAUGGACUCGCGGCUUAUCAGCUUGUUGGUGGGGUAGUGGCUUACCAAGGCUUUGACGGGUAGCCGGCCUGAGAGGGUGACCGGCCACAUGGCGACUGAGAGACGGCCCAGACUCCUACGGGAGGCAGCAGUGGGGAAUAUUGCACAAUGGGCGGAAGCCUGAUGCAGCAACGCCGCGUGCGGGAUGACGGCCUUCGGGUUGUAAACCGCUUUCGCCUGUGACGAAGCGUGAGUGACGGUAAUGGGUAAAGAAGCACCGGCUAACUACGUG